GAGUUUGAUCGUGGCUCAGAUUGAACGCUGGCGGCAUGCCUUACACAUGCAAGUCGAACGGUAACAGGUCUUCGGAUGCUGACGAGUGGCGAACGGGUGAGUAAUACAUCGGAACGUGCCCGAUCGUGGGGGAUAACGAAGCGAAAGCUUUGCUAAUACCGCAUAAGAUCUACGGAUGAAAGCAGGGGACCGCAAGGCCUUGCGCGAACGGAGCGGCCGAUGGCAGAUUAGGUAGUUGGUGGGAUAAAAGCUUACCAAGCCGACGAUCUGUAGCUGGUCUGAGAGGACGACCAGCCACACUGGGACUGAGACACGGCCCAGACUCCUACGGGAGGCAGCAGUGGGGAAUUUUGGACAAUGGGCGAAAGCCUGAUCCAGCCAUGCCGCGUGCAGGAUGAAGGCCUUCGGUU
rnacentral:rRNA from 1 species